UUUGCGUUCCCUCGCAAAGAUGUUUUGCGUUAUCUCGCAAAGUUGUUUUAUGUUCGCCCGCGAGACGUGUAUUCUCACGAGACACUUGUUCGCGGUUGUUUGCAUUUGGUGUUUGCACUUGCACAGCGUCAACAUCACUUCACUUUAAUGAUCUUGAAUGUUAACACUCCGCAGUUGGAUCGGAGAAAGGUCAUACUUUUGCGGUGAGUUAUCAUAAUAAACUCUUUUUGAUUAGAUUGCACGGAAGGUCCUUUGAGUAAGUUAAACUAACUUAAACUUUUAUGUGAUUGAUUGUCAUCUCAUCAACGGAGACGCAGCUAGCGCUAAUUGUUGUAGCUCUAUGAUGGACGAUGAUCUACAACAGUUUUUGAGGUCAAGAGACGUCCCAGAACAGGACAUCAUUCUCAUGAUAAGGGACAAGAUUGACAAGUCUGUGCUCUCUGUCAUGACUGAUGAGCAAAUGGCAAAGUAUGUUAGUUCAUAUGGUGACCGACUAGCUAUCGUCUCCUUCUGUCAACAAACAGCAGCCUCCUCUGAUAAAGAAUCCCUUUUAAAGAACCUGAGAGACAAAAUUGAAGCAAGGAAACUUGGUUCAUCUAAAACUUUCCAAGGAAAAAGGUGUGUUAUCCCUAAGGAAUGGAAUGCCAUGGCAAGAAACAAAAAUUCAUCUGCAGAAAGAACCACCAGGAGAAUUGUAAUUGGAUGGCUUCACUAUGGUCGUAAUGGAUACCAGCAAGUGAGGACCAAUAAUGGUGGUGGGACAAGACAUUUGACAGUUCAAAAAGAGACAACUGUUGAACAAAUAAUGGAAAUGGGAAAGAAUCUUUUUUUUCCAAAUGGGGAGUCUCCAAAAGGUCCAGAAGCAGACUUCACAUUUCAUGUUUGUGAUUUCAAAAGAAACUAAAUUGUUUUGGACAGUACUGUUGGAAAUCUGUAUGAACAAACCAAGCUGAAAUUGUUGAGGUUUUAUAUUUGCACUAAACAAGAGGUUUACCUCACAGACGAAGAAUCUUUAUCUGAAGAAGAUAAAGAUGGGUUUAAUGACCACUCAUUAUGACAGGAUGGAUCAGACAGUGAUACAGAAAGACCUGCUGCAUCAUUGUCAUUGCAUGGAUGUGAUAGUGAUGUUGAUCAUGCAAGCACACACUUACUGGAUUAUAGACUUUCAUCUAAUGAAAAAAGCAAGAAGAGACGAGUGACAACAGAAACCCAGAGACCAGGGGAAUUGGAGGAUGUUGCACAAAGUGGCUUUACCGCAGAUGCACCUAGCACUUCAUACUGCUUUCAUUCACUCUUGAAUGAUAUCAAAAAAGCACAUGUCGUCCAAAGAGUCGCAAGCAGCUCAAGUGAUGAGGAGACUGGUAAAUUGUUCAAUUACAGUUUGCAGCAAUCAAAGAGUCCACAGGAUUUACAUGAGCACUGUGAUUUUCAAAGAGACUGUGAAUUGAUUGACUUGACAAAUCAGAUCCCUCCAUUACAAAACAACAGAGUUGAAACUCUUGGAUUUGAUAUGGAAGAGACAGUUGAGUGGAGGGAAGGGGAUGAACUUGGAAACAGAAUUGAAGAUGAAGAAAUAGUAGUAACAUGGGAUCUGAGAGAGGAAAUCAUUGAGAAUGCUGAGCUGACUGACGCUGAAAAUGAGGAGCCAUCACUACCCUUAAGUAACAGCCAUCAUGUAUUGCAGAUGGGUUCCGAAAUGCCUUCAACCCCAGACAGUCUGCCAUCCCAUUUAAGAGACCAAAUUUCUUCUUCAUUUGGAAUCUCUGCAAAUCUAACAGAAGUGCAAGCUUUAAUACACAGGGUAAAGGUGGUAGAAGAUCUUUUGUCUGUGUUCAUGGACAGAAGCAUAAUUCAGUCUACUUUGAAAAUGGAAUUUGUAAAUGAGAUUGCUGUAGAUGAUGCUGGAGUAUCCAGAGAAGUUUACACUGCAUUCUGGGAUCAGUUUUUUUGAGCAGUGUGAAGGGGAAGAUGAGCGUGUUCCAAGACUGAGACCAGAUUUCUCUGAACCUGAAUGGGAGGCAGUAGGACGGAUCUGGGUAAAAGGAUUUCUUGACCUUGGUGUACUGCCUGUGAGACUUGCCAGUGCUUUCAUACUAGCAUGCAUGUAUGGAAUUGACUCAGUGGAUGAUGAGUUAUUGUUGUCAUCUUUCCACAACUACCUCUCUUUGACAGAACGAACUGCCAUUGCAAAGGCUUAUGAGGGCACGCUGGAUGAAUCAGACGAAGAGGAUUUGCUUGACCUCUUCACGAGAAUGGGCUCUCACAGAAUCCCUUUUAAAAACUUGCAAAAUAUGAAAAUUGCCAUCCAAACAAUGGCUCAUAAAGCCAUACUUCAAGAGCCCAAGUUUAUAAUAGACUGUUUCUCAAAAAACAUGCCAUUGGCACUGCUGAAAAUACCAGACCAAAAAAGUCUAGUGUCUCUGUACGAGAAAAAGAAGGCCACUGGCAAAAAAGUAGCGCAGCUACUGCAAACAACACAGGAUGUCCGGUCUCAGAAAGAACAGAUGGUAUUCCAUCAUCUGCAACGUUAUGUCAGAAACGCAGACCAAACCAAAGCAGAAACAUUUCUGCGGUUCUGCACUGGCUCUUCCGUCAUAUGUGUUGAACAGAUCAAGGUAAGCUUCAAUGCUGAAUCUGACCUUAGCAGAAGGCCAGUAGCUCAUACAUGUGGCGCUACACUUGACUUGCCAUACACUUACAGUUCAUACCCAGACCUCCGCACAGAGCUUGAUAACAUUCUGUCUAGUGAUUGCUUCGAAAUGAACAUCCUGUGAAAUUGGUGUUUUUCAGGAUAGUUUAUUGUGUUCAUGGUACAUUUAUGGAACAAUCUGUAACUUUUAUUAACCUGUUGGUAACUUUAUCAGUGGUACCUGUGUAGAUUUUUAUACCAUGGGGAAAAGGAACACUCAUAUUUUGUUUAACUAUUGAUUGGAAUUCACCCCAUAUAGUAUUAAUUUGUUUUUCAUUUGAUUGUCAGGAAAAUUAAACUUUUAUUUUGAAUUGAUUGGCUAAAACAAUCUUUAUAUGAUGCAAUGUCAUUAUUGUUAGUGUAGAAAUAAUUCUGAAUCAUAUUUUGGUUAAUUGCAUAAAAUUGAAGUUUAUCCAUAUAAAGUGGACAAAGUGGUAUGUAUUCUUGCAUAAUUUCACUUUAACAGUUCAUUGCAGCAAAUAUUACAGACGCAUUGUUUUGUAUGCAUUACUUUCUCUCUAAAAAAAGGGUAAACAAUUUGAGAUUAUAUAUUUAAAUAUAUUUGUGCUGCUCAAAGUUUUUCAAUGGAAAUUUUAACUAGUGUUCCGUUUUCUCGAACUUAAUUGUUAGUAAGAAGUUUUUUGAAAUUGAACCUUGUUUAUUCUAAAAGGUUUAAACUGUUUACAUGGUUAUAGAGAUUCGAAAGGUUUGAAAUUGACAGAUUUAGCCAUAGCCGUUCAAUAGUUAUAAAGUUUUAAAAUAUUGAUUAUUUACCUUACUACAGUUUAAAGUUGUUUUUUAAUUGAAACAACACUGGGAAUUAUACAAAUGUUUUAUUUUUAUUUUUUUAUUCACUGCAAUACAACAUUGUGAGCAAGGAAAGUUAUUGGAAUCUUUAAUCUUUAUUUAUGUUCUGUCCUGUUAUAUACAGCUUUGUUUACAAUAAAGUAUUAUGCAAA